AUAACCUAAAAGGAGAGUGCGGUAAGUUGCAUCCUUGGAGACAGGUUGGAGACAGGCUGGACUGGGUGAGCCCUGAGGAUAUUCCCCACAUUCAUUUUUGCCUUUGUGUCUGUUUGUGUUUUAGAUUACCUAAAAGAACGGCUCGCUUUGUAUGGCAUAUCGUACUGAUUAUAAACAGGAUAUACAACUCUGGAUUCGGACAAGACCCAUCCACAGUGCACAGGGUGAAGAGGAGCAGGGUCGGCAUCCCUCCUGCCCUUGUCACGUGGGACUAGAUUCGGCCCCAUCCCUUCUCUUCCUGCUUCGCAAAAGUGGGGCUCCAGUUGCCUCCCCAGAGCUGAGGGAAAUGGCUACCGCGUUCACCUGGAAUCGGAGAACCAGAGGGUUCUGGUUCUCUGGCUGUUGGGCUGACGGCCUGGGACUGGGGGCUCUCACUGAGAUGUGUUGGGGUCCUGCCCAGCCCCCAGCUGAGGUCAGCCUGCAGACUCAGGAUGACCCAAGUCCUGCUUGGCUGCCAGGUUGUGGGCGGGGAUGGGUCGGGGUCAGUGGAGUUGUCGGGGAGGGGAAAGAAGUCAGCUCAAGUAGCACCGUACGGAAGCUUUUAAUUUUUCCAGGCUUCUUCAUCAAUGAGAGAAAGCGAGGUCUCGGGCAAAGAGCACUGGAUUGGAAGACAGGAGAGUUGGGUUCUAAUUCUGACUCCGCCACUUGCUUGUGGUGUGACCUUGGCCAAGUCGGUUAACUGCUCUGGGCCUCAGUUGCCUCCUCUGUGAAGUGGGGAUUCAAUACCUGUUCUCCACUCCGAUUACCUCGUACCUAACCAAGUGUUCAGUCCAAUGUUUGGCCCCUGCUAGGCACUGAAUAAAUGCCUUCAUUAAAAGGAAUAAAAUGUAUAACCAACGAGUCGUGCAUUUGCUUCUGCCCGGCAGCCCUGGAGUGGGAGGGGGUG
rnacentral:lncRNA from 1 species